rnacentral:rRNA from 1 species
UUCCGUAGGCGCAACCGGCGGAUUCCAUACCAAUAAGCGAGAAUAAGCCUCCGAAAGCGCAGAGGAAGACCCCCAAAUCAAUUAGAAGUUUCAACCUCCGAACUCUUGGAUCUGGCCUCGCUGAAGAACGCAGCGAAAUGCGAUACGAAGGUGAGAAAUGCAGAAUUCAGUGAAUCAUCGAAUCUUUGAACGCACAUUGCGCCCAUUUGGUAUUCCAAAGGGCAUGCCUGUUCGAGCGUCAUUUGUACCCUCAAGCUUUGCUUGGUGUUGGGCGUCUUUUGUCUCCAGUUCGCUGGAGACUCGCCUUAAAGUCAUUGGCAGCCGGCCUACUGGUUUCGGAGCGCAGCACAAGUCGCGCUCUUUGCCAGCCAAGGUCAGCGUCCAGCAAGCCUUUUUUUCAACCUUUUGACCUCGGAUCAGGUAGGGAUACCCGCUGAACUUAAGCUUAUCAUUAAGCGCGAGAAACAUCCCCCCGCUUAAUUAAUAUGC